rnacentral:rRNA from 1 species
ACCAGACUCCUACGGGAGGCAGCAGUGGGGGAUAUUGCACAAUGGGGGGAACCCUGAUGCAGCGACGCCGCGUGGGUGAAGAAGCGCCUCGGCGCGUAAAGCCCUGUCAGCAGGGAAGAAAAUGACGGUACCUGAAGAAGAAGCCCCGGCUAACUACGUGCCAGCAGCCGCGGUAAUACGUAGGGGGCAAGCGUUAUCCGGAUUUACUGGGUGUAAAGGGGGCGCAGACGGCGAUGCAAGCCAGGAGUGAAAGCCCGGGGCCCAACCCCGGGACUGCUCUUGGAACUGCGUGGCUGGAGUGCAGGAGGGGCAGGCGGAAUUCCUGGUGUAGCGGUGAAAUGCGUAGAUAUCAGGGGGAACACCGGUGGCGAAGGCGGCCUGCUGGACUGCAACUGACGUUGAGGCCCGAAAGCGUGGGGAGCAAACAGGAUUAGAUACCCUCGUACCC